GACGAACGCUGGCGGCGUGCUUAACACAUGCAAGUCGAACGAAGUGGCGAACGGGUGAGUAAUACGUGGGGAACCUGCCCUCCUUUAUGGGAUAAGCCUUGGAAACGGGGUCUAAUACCGAAUAAAGGGGGAUGGGCUCGCGGCUUAUCAGCUUGUUGGGGGGGUGUUGGCCUACCAAGGCGGUGACGGGUAGCCGGCGUGAGAGGGUGCACGGCCACAUUGGGACGGAGGUACGGCCCAGCCUCCUACGGGGGGCAGCAGUUGUGGAUAUUGCACAAUGGGCGAAAGCCUGAUGCAGCGACUCCGCGUGAGGGAUGAAGGCUUUCGGGUUGUAAACCUCUUUCGCUAUCGUACGGGUAGGUGGAGAAGAAGCGCCGGCUAACUACGUGCCAGCAGCCGCGGUAAUUC
rnacentral:rRNA from 1 species